UACAGAGGGGGCAAGCGUUGUUCGGAAUUACUGGGCGUAAAGGGCGCGUAGGCGGCCUGCUAAGUCGAACGUGAAAUCCCCGAGCUCAACUCGGGAACUGCGUCCGAUACUGGCAGGCUUGAAUCCGGGAGAGGGAUGCGGAAUUCCAGGUGUAGCGGUGAAAUGCGUAGAUAUCUGGAGGAACACCGGUGGCGAAGGCGGCCCACUGGCUCGAUACUGACGCUGAGGUGCGAAAGCGUGGGGAGCAAACAGG
rnacentral:rRNA from 1 species